rnacentral:rRNA from 1 species
UACGUAGGUGGCAAGCGUUGUCCGGAUUUACUGGGCGUAAAGAGCGCGCAGGCGGUCGUUCAAGUCGCGUGUGAAAGCCCCCGGCUCAACUGGGGAGGGUCACGCGAUACUGAUCGACUCGAAGGCAGGAGAGGGUAGUGGAAUUCCCGGUGUAGUGGUGAAAUGCGUAGAUAUCGGGAGGAACACCAGUGGCGAAGGCGACUUCCUGGCCUGUUCUUGACGCUGAGGCGCGAAAGCUAGGGGAGCAAACGGGG